GCCCGCGUGGCGGAACGGUAGACGCAGCGGACUUAAAAUCCGUUGUUCGGUAGGACGUGUGGGUUCGAAUCCCUCCGCGGGCACCA
rnacentral:tRNA from 1 species